rnacentral:rRNA from 1 species
UACGUAGGUGGCGAGCGUUGUCCGGAUUUAUUGGGCGUAAAGCGCGCGCAGGCGGUUCGGCAAGUCCGGUGUGAAAGCGCCCGGCUCAACUGGGCGAGGUCAUUGGAGACUGUCGGACUGGAGGUGGGCAGAGGCCGGUGGAAUUCCCGGUGUAGUGGUGAAAUGCGUAGAUAUCGGGAGGAACACCUGUGGUGUAGACGGCUAUCUGGACGGCGACUGACGCUGGGACACGAAAGCGUGGGUAGCAAACAGG